AUGCAGUCGACGCGUCUCCGUUGAUGAUUUUAGGUGCUUGCACUUGAAAGAUUUAACAUUGAGACGAGUGGCGAACUGGUGAGUAACACGUGGGUAACCUGCCCUUGAAGUAGGGGAUAACACUUGGAAACAGGUGCUAAUACCGUAUAACAACCAAAACCACCUGGUUUUGGUUUAAAAGACGGCUUCGGCUGUCACUUUAGGAUGGACCCGCGGCGUAUUAGCUUGUUGGUAAGGUAACGGCCUACCAAGGCGAUGAUACGUAGCCGACCUGAGAGGGUAAUCGGCCACAUUGGGACUGAGACACGGCCCAAACUCCUACGGGAGGCAGCAGUAGGGAAUCUUCCACAAUGGACGAAAGUCUGAUGGAGCAACGCCGCGUGAGUGAUGAAGGGUUUCGGCUCGUAAAACUCUGUUGUUGGAGAAGAACAGGUGUCAAAGUAACUGUUGACAUCUUGACGGUAUCCAACCAGAAAGCCACGGCUAACUACGUGCCAGCAGCCGCGGUAAUACGUAGGUGGCAAGCGUUGUCCGGAUUUAUUGGGCGUAAAGCGAGCGCAGGCGGUUUUUUAGGUCUGAUGUGAAAGCCUUCGGCUUAACCGGAGAAGUGCAUCGGAACCGGGAGGCUUGAGUGCAGAAGAGGACAGUGGAACUCCAUGUGUAGCGGUGAAAUGCGUAGAUAUAUGGAAGAACACCAGUGGCGAAGGCGGCUGUCUGGUCUGUAACUGACGCUGAGGCUCGAAAGCAUGGGUAGCGAACAGGAUUA
rnacentral:rRNA from 2 species